rnacentral:rRNA from 1 species
AGGACGAACGCUGGCGGCGUGCCUAAACAAUGCAAGUCGAACGGAGUAGCAAUACUCAGUGGCGAACGGCGGAGUAAUGCAUAAGCAACGUGCCCUGAAGACUGGGAUAGCCCGAGGAAACUCGGAGUAAUACCGGAUGUGGCCACCCUUAGGAUCUAGGGGUGAUUAAAUGGUUUUUUCGCUUUAGGAGCGGUCUUAUGGCCUAUCAGCUAGUUGGUGAGGUAACGGUCUUACCAGGCGACGACGGGUAACGGUCUGAGAGGAUGACUCCGUCGAGUGGGACUGAGACCACGGCCCACACACCGUACGGGGUGCAGCAGGUUGGAAUCUUGACAAC